UGGGGAAUAUUGCACAAUGGGCGCAAGCCUGAUGCAGCAACGCCGCGUGAGGGACGACGGCCUUCGGGUUGUAAACCUCUUUUAGUAGGGAAGAAGCGAAAGUGACGGUACCUGCAGAAAAAGCACCGGCUAACUACGUGCCAGCAGCCGCGGUAAUACGUAGGGUGCAAGCGUUAUCCGGAAUUAUUGGGCGUAAAGAGCUCGUAGGCGGUUUGUCGCGUCUGCUGUGAAAACUGGAGGCUCAACCUCCAGCCUGCAGUGGGUACGGGCAGACUAGAGUGCGGUAGGGGAGUUGGAAUUCCUGGUGUAGCGGUGGAAUGCGCAGAUAUCAGGAGGAACACCGAUGGCGAAGGCAGAUCUCUGGGCCGUAACUGACGCUGGGGAGCGAAAGCGUGAGGAGCGAACAGGAUUAGAUACCCUGGUAGUCCACGCCGUAAACGUUGGGAACUAGAUGUGGGGCAUUCCACGGCUUCCGUGUCGCAGCUAACGCAUUAACG
rnacentral:rRNA from 1 species